rnacentral:tRNA from 1 species
GCGGGCGUGGCGGAACUGGCAAACGCGCUGGGUUUAGGUCCCAGUGGGGCUCACGCCCCUUACAGGUUCGAGUCCUGUCGCCCGCA